rnacentral:rRNA from 1 species
AGUCGAGCGAGAAAGCACUUCGGUGCGAGUACAGCGGCGGACGGGUGAGUAACGCGUAGGAAUCUACCUGGUAGUGGGGGACAACUCGGGGAAACUCGAGCUAAUACCGCAUACGCCCUUCGGGGGAAAGCGGGGGAUCUUCGGACCUCGCGCUAUUGGAUGAGCCUGCGUCGGAUUAGCUUGUUGGUGAGGUAAAGGCUCACCAAGGCGACGAUCCGUAGCUGGUCUGAGAGGAUGAUCAGCCACACUGGGACUGAGACACGGCCCAGACUCCUACGGGAGGCAGCAGUGGGGAAUAUUGCGCAAUGGGGGAAACCCUGACGCAGCCAUGCCGCGUGUGUGAAGAAGGCCCUAGGGUUGUAAAGCACUUUCAAUAGGGAGAAAAGGCGUACGGCUAAUACCCGUGCGAGUUGAUGUUACCUAUAGAAGAAGCACCGGCUAACUCCGUGCCAGCAGCCGCGGUAAUACGGAGGGUGCGAGCGUUAAUCGGAAUUACUGGGCGUAAAGCGCGCGUAGGUGGUCUGUUAAGUCAGCUGUGAAAGCCCCGGGCUUAACCUGGGAACUGCAGUUGAUACUGGCAGGCUAGAGUACGAGAGAGGGAGGUAGAAUUCCAUGUGUAGCGGUGAAAUGCGUAGAUAUAUGGAGGAAUACCAGUGGCGAAGGCGGCCUCCUGGCUCGAUACUGACACUGAGGUGCGAAAGCGUGGGUAGCAAACAGGAUUAGAUACCCUGGUAGUCCACGCCGUAAACGAUGUCUACUAGCCGUUGGGUGACUUGAUCGCCUAGUGGCGCAGCUAACGCAAUAAGUAGACCGCCUGGGGAGUACGGCCGCAAGGGUAAAACUCAAAUGAAUUGACGGGGGCCCGCACAAGCGGUGGAGCAUGUGGUUUAAUUCGAUGCAACGCGAAGAACCUUACCAGGCCUUGACAUCCAGAGAACUUCCUAGAGAUAGGUUGGUGCCUUCGGGAACUCUGUGACAGGUGCUGCAUGGCUGUCGUC